rnacentral:rRNA from 1 species
GACGGGGGAUGCAAGUGUUAUCCGGAAUAAUUGGGCGUAAAGCGUCUGUAGGUGGUUUACCAAGUCUGUUGUUAAAAAUCAGGGCUUAACCCUGAUCCGGCAACAGAAACUAGUAGGCUGGAGUACGGUAGGGGCAGAGGGAAUUCUCGGUGUAGUGGUGAAAUACGUAGAUAUCGAGAAGAACACCAAUAGCGAAAGCACUCUGCUGGGCCGAAACUGACAUUGAGAGACGAAAGCUAGGGAGCGAAAGG